rnacentral:lncRNA from 1 species
AAGUCUCAUCUGUCACUGGGUGCACAAGCCGGCAUUUCAUUAUUGCAAGCAACAACUGCACAAGCUUGUGAGCUUUAUGCCGUCAGUUUAAACAGAUUCAGCUCAACACGAUUCGAUAACCACGACACGGGCAAACACUAGGACAUCAUCAACCUAACACGACAUAACAUUGGUGUCAAUACUUAAUUUACAGGAUUUUAUUGCGUGACCGAAUCACAAGUGCGGCGUAAAUUACAAUCACAGAUAUAAAGCGAACCCAGUCUCACAGCGAGAGUAGACCAGUUAACACACCGGAGACACAAACAUACGAGAAUCGACCUUCGAUAACAAAGUGCGUGAACCCAGCUUCAAGAAUCUCAACACAGGUAAAGACCACAUUGCUUCGGCACCAAGUUCCCUGUCCUUCCACGUGAGAACCCGGUCCUGGUCACAGCUCCUUCAGACAUCAUCGAACACGUCAUCAUACAUGUCAGCAUCCGAGCCCACGCCGUCGAUAUAAUCAUCCAUGUCAUCGAAAUCAGCAUCCUCGUCGUCGGUGACCACGUCCAGCAGAUCAUCGUACAUGUCGACCUCGAUGUCGGAACCGCCGGGGUAGUCAUCACUGAUAGUGAGGUAAGCCCGGUACUUGAAGUCGGAGAUGGGGUCCCGAGGAAGCCUGAGGUUCCCGAUCCUGGCGCACUUGGACCUCAGGGCGUCGUCCAUCUGGAGGUUGCAGCAGCGGCGCACGUCGAGGGACUCGAGGCGGGGGCAGUGGUCGAGGAUCGCGGCCAGUCCGGUGUUGGUCAGGUUGUUGCCGAUCAGCUGGAGGUCUCGGAGCUCAGGCAUGCUGCUUGCGAUCCCGAGCGCUCCCGUGUCAUCAUCCAUGCCCUCAAAGGCCGCGAACCCCCUUUGGAGGAUCGUCCAGCGCUCGUUCAGCCGAAAUGAUUUCAGUUGUGGGCAGGCUCUGCCGACUAACUCGCACACGUUGCUGUUCAGUGAGCAGAAUGUGAUCUCCAGCUCCUCAAGCUGAGGAAAGCCCUUGACUGCCUCUGCCAGCGCCUCGUUGGAUACUUCAUCACACAAGCUGAGUUGAAGGCUCUUCAGCGAGGGUGCCCUGCAUUGAGACAUGGCAAGUUCUUAUCUAACACAAACAUUUAAGCUAAUGCGAAACCCAAUCAUGCUU